UAUACCCUACAGGUGAUGUCCUUUCCUCCCAAUGCUUUUGGUCUGUACGACAUGGUGGGGAAUGCAUGGGAAUGGACAGCAGACUGGUGGACUGUGCAUCACACCACGGACCCGCAACGCAACCCAACGGGGCCUCCCUCAGGCAAAGAUAAAGUGAAGAAGGGAGGGUCAUACAUGUGCCACAGGUCUUACUGUUACAGGUAUCGCUGUGCAGCAAGAAGCCAAAAUACACCGGACAGCUCAGCUUCUAAUCUUGGUUUUCGCUGUGUUUCUCAGGAGAAACGAUAAUCUCACCUGCUUGUCUUAAACACACUUUUACUGAAGCUGCUGCCUAAACCCAUUGUUGACUAUGCAGGAAGGACAUGCAACCUUUUACUGUGAUCUCAUUGCCAAACAUCUGAAAAUGAUGGACAGUAAAUCUUCUCUACUAUGAUAUAUGUUCAUAGGAUUCUCACCUUUUAUAGUUUUUCAGAUGUUUUCAUAAGAAACGAAUGGCAAAGCUUUCUCUGGCCACCUUUGAGUACUGGUGGGAAAAAAUAUUAAUAAUUCAAGUUACUGUACCUUUCACUGGAACAGAUUAGUGUGGUUUUUUUCUUGUUGCCAUUAUCAGCUAAAAGCUGGUUGUGCUGAAAGUAAAUCUUAAUGUACAGAAAAUGACUUUGCUGUAAAAUCAUUGUAGAAAAUUGUCCUUUUUUGCUCAAAAGCACUGUUUCAUACAUUUCCAUUAUA